rnacentral:rRNA from 1 species
GACGAACGCUGGCGGCGUGCCUAAUACAUGCAAGUCGAGCGGGCCUCCGGAGGUGCUUGCACCUCCGGAAGGCCAGCGGCGGACGGGUGAGUAACACGUGGGCAACCUGCCUUUGAGGCCGGGAUAACACCGGGAAACCGGUGCUAAUACCGGAUACGUCCUCUUUCGCGCCUGCGAGAGGGGAGAAAGACGGUCUUUAAGGCCGUCGCUCAAAGAGGGGCCCGCGGCGCAUUAGCUGGUUGGUGGGGUAAGGGCCUACCAAGGCGACGAUGCGGUGCCGACCUGAGAGGGUGAUCGGCCACCCUGGGACUGAGACACGGCCCAGACUCCUGCGGGAGGCAGCAGUAGGUAAUCAUCCGCAAUGGGCGAAAGCCUGACGGUGCAACGCCGCGUGAGUGAGGAAGGUUUUCGGAUCGUAAAGCUCUGUUGUGAGGGAAGAACAGCUUCCGGAGGAAAUGCCGGAGGUUUGCCGGUACCUCACCAGGAAGCCCCGGCUAACUACGUGCCAGCCGCCGCUGUAA